GGCAUGGUAAACGGCAUGGUUAAGGUGUCCGAUGUCUUCCGAGCAGGGUGUCUCAAUUAAUAACGCACGUGAAAAAGCAAUUACCUGUACUUUGACUCCAACGCAAUGAGAACAUUGGGUACACCUGCACGUAUGCAACAAGGGGACAGGCAAGGAUGCUCAGCUAGUCAACAGUUUACUUAAAAUGUAAGCGGUGCAUGUUGUCCGUCAAAACGAAAAACGAAUAAAUAAGUAGUUUGAACCCAUGAAGUGUGCCUAAAACCUACCGCUUCGAAGUGAGCAAACUGAGGUAGUGGCAACGUUCCUGCUCCACUCAACCCGCCUUGAGAAAGAACUCAAACCUAUGCCUUGAGAAAAACCACCGAGGACGUAAUAAGUGUACGUGGUGCACAAUCAGCCCGCCGGUAGCCAGACUGAGCAGUGCGUGCCGGGAGUUGGAUGAUGGCGGAUGGGACGAGGGCGGACGCCAGCGACGGCAGCGGCCGCUCACUGCUGGGCACGACGGCCAGCGACGCCCUGUCGCGCCAGGCCAGCGUCCAACUGCGGCCGCUCUACUACCGGCGUGCGACGCAAGCCGAAUCGCGGUUGCUGCGCUCGUCGGAGGGCGAUGGCCCCGACCUGGACUCGGCCAGUGUCCCGGCGCUGUUGGCCAAGCCGUCCCGCGUCGUCUCUGGGGUCGUCAUGAUCGAGAACGACACGCACCAAAACAUUGAAGCCGACGAAGAAAUGGUGAAGAACCUGACGAGGGAGAGGAAGCAUUGUCUAUGCUGUCUUGUCGUUGUUUUUGUUCUUCUCGCUAUCCUGGCGACCGUUUGGGGUGAGUGAACCAAUGUUAGACCCACGCGACAGAUAUCCGAGCAACUGUGACUGUGAGCAUUUGAGUAAAUAAAUAAGGGCACUCCCUGAAAAGUGUUAACUAAAAGCACUGAAAGCCACAUAAGCAAGUAAAGCCAUGAUAUACCACAACUCCCGUUGUCCAAAUGCAAUGUCACUAAAGGGUUCUGUGAAUCGUCCACCUUUGAGCACUUCCCCAGAUAGUAUUUCUAAGCUACUGCCGCCUCAUUUCAGUUGUGAUGACGAAUCACUUGAGAUGAUCGCAGUGCGGAUGAAGUGGAGCCAAGACACAAAUUGCCAGGCAAAGCUGCCGAUGGGUCACAUCACAGUACCCGCCACGGGAAGAAGAGACCUUCAAGUACGGUGGACGGAGUGGCGAGCUGGCGCGAGAGCACUCGUAAUAAACUGAGUAUACGGUCCGGAGCUGUGAAAAUA